rnacentral:misc_RNA from 1 species
CCGCCCUCCCUCCCCCCUCUCACACACUACGCGCCGCUAAUAGAGUGUUUACUUCUUCAGCGCUUCGCGAGCUUCUCGAGAUCCUUUUCUCGGUGCACAUGUGUGUGCGUCUUCCUCUUGCUGUCUGCGUGUGUGUUGGUGUUUUGUGUUGUGCGUCGGCAUGUAUCGAUUGAAGCUCAGCACGUUGCUCUUCUCUCCGUCUUUCCUUGUUGUUGUUUGAUGCCUUCUAAGUAGCCUCGGGUAAAACACAACGAGCGCCCAUAGGCACAAGCACGCACUACCAAACGCUUCGGCAGGCCUCUCCAGAGUCCGGGUUCGCUCCCGUCUUCAAGUGCGCCCUUGUACGAAGGCGCGCUAUCGGAGAGGCACGGCGUGAGAGAUAGAGGGAGGCCAAGCUGCAUGAGUCGGAGGAGUGAAGGACGGAGUAUUUGCCUGUGUGUCUGCGCUUCCCUGUCUCUUCGCCCGCUUGUGAACACACAACGCGACCUGCUCAUCCACCAGGAACGGACGCUACCGUUGUAGUCGUCUUCGCUUUGCUUCGUGGUAAUGGGAGCCCUACCCCUCCCCCACCCCUCCAACGUGCAGAUGCCGCUGCUGUCGGAGUGGACGGAGGAGAAGAACGCAUGCGUGGAUUGGGCGAACCCGGAAGAGGUCUUGUGCAACGGCUUCACGUUCCUUCAGUUGUUGGCCGCUCAUCCACGACUGCGCCAGCACUAUGAGCCGGCGGACAAGCAAUCAGAGCGCUACGCCGUGAAAGACACUUUUCUUUUCGGGUCUGUCGAGGAGAAGGUGGCUUGGCUGACGCGGUGGCAUGCACAGCACCUGCUCUCCCUCCGGUCGGAACGGUGGUGCCGCUUCUGUGGUGAAAGCGGCCACACCCGUCUGCACUGCUCGGAGCGUCUGCGUUCCGCGUCAGCCGUGGCGCCCGAGGGCCCAGCGACCCUUACUGCUACUAAGGGCGCAGGUCCGGCAGCGUCGCCUGCCGCGUCGUCAAAGGAUGCACCGCAGUCGUCGGUGCUGAAGAAAUACCUGGAACACCUGCAGCGUGUGGAGCUGCGCCGCAUCCUUGAAGAAAAGCAAAAGCCGCGGGCUGAGCCUACGGCGGCCUACAGAAGCGGUGCGGUUGCCGCUCGUGCUUCCACAGCUGCCGCGACGAACCUCUUCACAGCAGACGAGCGCCGUCGCGGGACAGUGUGCCGUCUCGACGAGGCGAACAAUAUCGGCUUCGUCACCGUGGCUGGCAUGGGCGAGCUGAAGUUCUUUGUUGACCGCGUCGACGUCGGCGUCAAGGCGGUCGUCGUUGGUGACAACGUCACCUUCAAGCUGGACCCCAGCCGGGACUACCCCAUCGCCGUCGACGUGCGCCACGAGCGACCGGUAAUUACGCUGGAGGACGUCCGAAAGUUUCUCCACCGCUGCCGUGCCGCCCGCCAUCCCAUUAAGGUUAUGGCUACCCUCCUCAUGCACACACACGAGUGGUUUGUGCUGCUGCGCUGGCUGCACGUGCUACGCGAGCAAGACGUACCGCUAUACGUCGAGGCGGUGCACGCGCUGGUCGAGCUGACCACCUUUGUCGGUAACCGCGAGCCGAUUCACGUGCCGGUUCUCAGCGCCUUCUUGGCGCUACUGUGCACUGCGCCACCGAGUACGCCAGCAGCAGCCGCGGCGGCUGCACCAGGAGGCGGCGCUACCACCGUCACUCCUGCUACAUCCACGGCGGCGACUGCGACUGCUGUGACUCCGCCUCUACGGCUGCCUCGUUUCUACCCCGACAUGGUACGGGAUGCGCUAGAACGGCACACCGCCACAGAUAAGUUCGGUGCAUCUGCGGCUGUUGCGACGGCAGCCGAGGCCCGGUUGGCUGAGGACAGAUGGGUGGAAGUGGCGCAGUUCGUGAUUCUGGUGCGCUGCUACAACCCGCUUUCCGACGCGGGCAGCACUGCGAAAGACAGCGCUGGCGAGGCUGCCGUGAGUGACUUGGACACCGCCGCCGAUCCUGAAGCGGCGGUGGUGCGGCAGCUCCAAGCCUUCUUUGCCGAGCGGCUGACGCGAGCGAGCGGAGCAGCCGUGCGACGCCUGCAGCUUGUCCAGGCACGGCUUGCACAGCAGCUGCGGCCAGCGGCAUUGUCUCGAACUGUGGAUACCACCACCGGCGCUGCUGUUCCUGGCAGCGGCUCGUCUGGGGUUGCCCUCAUCCCCACAGCGGAAGAGUUCUCGGUUCCCCCGCCGAGCCCGACCUCCGUCUUUGCGGCUGCGAACUUGCCUGUCAGCGGGGCCGCCACGUACACGGAUAGUGAUACGUUCAUUCGCGACCAGUGCAGGCUUCUGAGGGCCGACACCUUUGAGGCUGUCAGUCGGGUGCUGCCGGCGGUGUGCUACUCCCUGCCGUCGUAUGAGCCGAGCCAGGAGACGAUAUCCGAUAUGCAGCACGCUCGUGUCUACUCGCGGGUGCGGUGCCUCGGCAAGGUGAUGACCAGCGACCGGGACUACAGCCACCCCGAGAGCUACCUGUUGGAGGUGCACCCGCACAGCCCCAAGGCGAACCUGCGGGCGCAACUGCACGAGGGAACGACCGUGUGCAUCUCCACAGCUCUCGAUCCGACCACCAUCCGGAACAACGAGCUUUUCUGGGGUGUCGUGUCCUCUUGCGACGCCGCUCUCAUGGACGUUGGUGUCAUCGCCGUCUCCCCGUGCGAGGGCAGCUCAUCCUUCGAGCUCAUGCGCGCCGCCCUCGACCGCAACGCUGCCGGUGGUCGUCUUGAUCGCUCCUUCCUGCUGGAAACCCCCAUCUUCAUGGCCGGCUACGAGAGCAUAAUGCGUGCGCUCGAGGCCUUCUGCGGCCCGCUGGCGAUGCCGCUUCCACUGGUGCGUCAACUAGUCAGUCCAGAGGCGGCGGCCUCCGUGACGGCUGCCGCCGCAUUGGACAUCAUGGCGAGCCACUCCGCAGGCGCCGCGGCGCCGAGCGACGACGUGGAUCAGCUAGUGGAGUACAUCCCGCCCCACUGUGCGGUGACGUUCCAGGAGCUGACAGAGGAAAUCCGCAGCCAGUUCGCUCUCGACGAGGGGCAAAAGGCGGUCAUGCGCCAGCUUCCGGUCUCGAAGAUGAUCCUCGUGCAGGGCCCGCCAGGAACCGGCAAGUCCUUCAUUGGGUGCCGUGUCGUGGAGGCGUACGUGCGUUACAAGCAGCUCGUUGCAUCAGGUGACAUUCUGCAGAAGGUCAGCAUCGACAUGCUCCGCUCGACCCGGCUGGAGGACCUGCUGCCGCAAGUCGGCCCCAUGGUCGUCAUCACGUACAAGAACCACGCACUGGACGAGUUCCUGCUGGACUUGCUUGACUGCGGGCUGUGGGAGAUGAACCGCCCCCGUGUUGGGCAGCAGCUCACCGCCGGCAUGUCCGCUGCUGCGGCAGGAAUCUCACUGUCGUCCAGCGCCAGCACGUUCCCGGGCGGCAAGCGGGUGGUGCGCAUCGGUGGUCGCUCGCGUGAGGCCCGCCUCGACGGCUACAACCUCGGCGCCCUCCUCCACGGCAGCAUGGAUCGCGCCGCCAUCAACAGCCUCAAGGAUCGACUCUUUGUGCUGAGCCAGCGGCUGGAGCGGCUGACAAAGGAGAUUCACUACCUGGAGAACGGCCGGGUGCCGCGGGUGUACUUUGAGCGGUGGCUGACAGCGGAGCAGCGCCGGCACAUCACCUUCGACGAUCGAGAGGCGUGGCUGGCAGGGGAGAAGUACAUUGGCACCCUCGACGAGGCGGAGGACGUAGUAUCGCCCGCGCACUACCAGUCCCUGCUGCAGACACGCAUGGCAGAGCUGCUCGGCGCACGGCGAACUCAGGCGUCCUCGCCUCACGCGGAUUCGACUGCGACAGCGGGGCCGGCGACAGGCGCCGCAGAGCUGGAGACAGGAGAGGAAGAAGACGUGUCGCUGAGUGUCUUUCAGGAGAUGCGGCGCGAGGAGGAGAGGCGCCAGUUUAACAACCAGUUGCACCAGACCUAUCUCUCCGCCGAGGCGCUGCUUCUUGCCAGCCAGCCGCCGUCGCGGCCGGCUGGGGUGCCGGAAGAGCUCCUUUCCCUCUGGAGCUUGACGCCACGGCUACGGCACGAGUACUACGCGUACCUCAUCGCGAACACCAUCGCCGCCAAAGCGCGCGACUGCCUGACGAUCAUGGAGACGAUGAAGAGCGUUAUCCGGGUGCGCCGGCAUGCCAUGGAUGAGCUGAAGCUAUCUCUGCUGCAGGGCGCGGAUGUCGUGGGGCUGACGACGACGGGGUGCGCUAUGAAUCAGAACCUACUGCGCUCGCUGCGCCCAAGUGUGCUGGUGGUGGAGGAGGCCGCCGAGGUACUGGAGUCUCAGCUGUUGGCCUGCAUGACGGACUCUCUGAAGCAGAUCAUUCUCAUCGGCGAUCACUACCAGCUCCAGCCCAAGGUGGAGACCUUCCAAUAUGAGAAAAUAAACCACCUGAACCUGUCCUUGUUUGAGCGACUGGCGCAGAAGAUGCAGCCGAUUCGGCUGACGGAGCAACGCCGCAUGCACCCGGACAUCUCUCGACUGAUUCGCCCCUUCUACUCGCCGCAGCCCCUCAUCGAUCACGUGUCAGUGCUGGCGCGGCCCUUCCCGGCCGCGUCGGGAGUGGCCGGGGCGGAUCGGGUACCGGGACUUGCCACGCGCGUGUUUUUCUGGAGCCACCGCUACCCCGAGGAGGAGGCGCCCGGCAGCCGCAGUAAGGUGAACACACGUGAGAUCUGUAUGGUGCAGCAGGCCGUCGCUCACCUUGUCUCGCAGGGCGUGCUGCAAAAGUCGAUCACCGUGGUGACGCCGUAUCUCGGGCAAUGCCGCAUGCUGCGCGGUGUGCUGCGGCUGCGCUCCUUGGCGGACGUCCGCGUCAGCACCGUCGACCUCUAUCAGGGUGACGAGAACGACGUCAUCAUCCUUUCUCUGGUGCGAACCGAGAAGCUGACGGACUUCAUUCGGACACGCAACCGCUUGAUCGUCUCUUGCUCUCGUGCCCGCUUCGCCAUGGUGAUGAUCGGCAACGACGAGCUGCUGCGCCAGUGCCAUCACUGGGAGCAGGUGCUAGACCAGCUCCAGGCUGAGCAGUGCAUUGGUGAGAGCCUUCCCAUAACGUACCGUGGCCAGCCAUCAAAGGUAGUGCAUAUGACAGUGGCGGAGUCCGUCUCGGCGGCGGCGCUGGAGGCGGAAUUGACGGCACAGCAGCAGCACCAGCAGCGCAAGACGUAUCAGCGCCGUCCACCCGCCGCAGCAGACACCGCCGAGGGCGUUGAGGGUGCUAGGCCCGACGAGGCAGGCGGCGGUACUAACGUCAACGACAACGGCGGUGCUGGGGAUAGGCCCGAUGGCGACGCCGGCCCUGAUAGUGGCGCGGAAGAAGAUGCUUAAGCAGGCUCGACAACGGUGACGGAGUCAAUAACAGAGAAAACAACUACGGUGCGAUAAUGCAGCCUCGAGGCUCUGUAAGGAAUGCGCGUCGACAAGUGGGCCAGCCAGCACGUUU